GACGAACGCUGGCGGCGUGCUUAACACAUGCAAGUCGAACGAGAAUCUACAGAUCGAGGAUUCGUCCAAGUGAAGUAGAGGACAGUGGCGGACGGGUGAGUAACGCGUGAGGAACCUGCCUUUCAGAGGGGGACAACAGUUGGAAACGACUGCUAAUACCGCAUGACACAUUGGGGUCGCAUGGCCCUGAUGUCAAAGAUUUAUCGCUGAAAGAUGGCCUCGCGUCUGAUUAGCUAGUUGGUGAGGUAACGGCCCACCAAGGCGACGAUCAGUAGCCGGACUGAGAGGUUGACCGGCCACAUUGGGACUGAGAUACGGCCCAGACUCCUACGGGAGGCAGCAGUGGGGAAUAUUGGGCAAUGGGCGCAAGCCUGACCCAGCAACGCCGCGUGAAGGAAGAAGGCUUUCGGGUUGUAAACUUCUUUUGUCAGGGA
rnacentral:rRNA from 1 species